rnacentral:rRNA from 1 species
UAGUUCUUUCUUAAAAUAUUCUAGCAAAGCCAAGUAAAUCUAAUUUUUAAGAAUUAUUCAAUAAAGGUACAGCUUUAUUGAAAAAGGAAACAACCUAAACCUUAGGAUAAUGAAUAUUUUUAAAUAGGUAAAAGGCCAAGUUGGCCUAAAAGCAGCCAUCUUUAAAGAUAGCGUCAAAGCUUCACCUUAAACACACCUUAAAUCUCAUUAUUUUUUCAUAAUCCAACAAUUCUACUAAGCCAUUCUAUACUUUUAUAGAAAAGUUUAUGUUAGGACUAGUAACACAGAAUAAUUUCUCUUACAUGUAAGUUUAAAUCAACCCGAAUACCUCCUUGAUAAUUACUCAAAUUUGAACCUUAAGUAGUACCUAUCAAUUACAAAAACCCUACUUAACUUAUUGUUAAUCAAACAUAUGGAUAUGAAAGAAAGAUUAAAAAAUUAAGAAGGAACUCGGCAAACACAAGUCCCGCCUGUUUACCAAAAACAUCGCCUUUUGAAAAGUAUAAAAGGUAACGCCUGCCCACUGACAGUAUGUUUAACGGCCGCGGUAUUCUGACCGUGCGAAGGUAGCGUAAUCACUUGUCUUUUAAAUGAAGACUCGUAUGAAAGGCAUCACGAGAACUUAGCUGUCUCCUUAAUUCAAUCAGUGAAACUGAUAUCCCUGUAAAAAAGCAGGGAUGAUAACAUAAGACGAGAAGACCCUGUGGAGCUUAAAACAUAAACUACUUCUAUACUCUACUAACUUAUAGUACUAAAAUACAAACCUAGCCUAAGUUUUCUGUUGGGGCGGCUGUGGAGAAAAACUUAUCCUCCAUGAAGAAAAACUUUGAUCUACCGCUCUUAGUAUUAGCAAGCCUAACUUAAAUUGAUCCAAUUUUUGAUCAACGGACCAAGUUACCCCAGGGAUAACAGCGCAAUCCAUUUCAAGAGUCCCUAUCGACAAAUGGGUUUACGACCUCGAUGUUGGAUUAGGACAUCCUAGUGGUGUAGCCGCUACUAAUGGU